GAUUGCUGUGGGUUGGCAGGGUAAGCAGGCAUAUAUGGUGGUGGAUAUGCAUAACCAUAAGGCGGCUGUUGCUGAUGCCAUUGUCCUUGCUGUUGUGCAGGUGGAUACUGCCCAGGUGGAUAUUGCCCAGGUGGAUAUUGCCCAGGUGGAUAUUGCCCAGGUGGAUACUGCCCAGGUGGAUACUGCCCAGGUGGAAGUAGCGGUUGUUGUACAGGUGGAAGUUGCCCAGGUGGAAGCCCCAGUGGUUGUCUUACUGUUGGAGGCACUGCCUGGUCAAACCGUGACAUCUCUUGCACUGCAGGAACCAUCAUUACACCAGGAGCGCCCCA
rnacentral:lncRNA from 1 species